GGAAUCUUGCGCAAUGGGCGAAAGCCUGACGCAGCAACGCCGCGUGCGGGAUGAAGGCCUUCGGGCUGUAAACCGCUUUCAGCAGGAACGAAAAUGACGGUACCUGCAGAAGAAGGAGCGGCCAACUACGUGCCAGCAGCCGCGGUGACACGUAGGCUCCAAGCGUUGUCCGGAUUUAUUGGGCGUAAAGAGCUCGUAGGCGGCUUAGUAAGUCGGGUGUUAAAACUCUGGGCUCAACCCGGAGAGGCCAUCCGAUACUGCUGUGACUUGAGUUCAGGAGGGGAGCGGGGAAUUCCUAGUGUAGCGGUGAAAUGCGCAGAUAUUAGGAGGAACACCGGUGGCGAAGGCGCCGCUCUGGACUGAAACUGACGCUGAGGAGCGAAAGCAUGGGUAGCAAACAGGAUUAGAUACCCUGGUAGUCCAUGCCGUAAACGGUGGGCACUAGGUGUGGGUUCCAACUAACGGGAUCCGCGCCGUCGCUAACGCAUUAAGUGCCCCGCCUGGGGAGUACGGUCGCAAGACUAAAACUCAAAUGAAUUGACGG
rnacentral:rRNA from 1 species